GCGCCGCUAGCUCAACUGGCAGAGCAGCUGACUCUUAAUCAGCGGGUUCGGGGUUCGAGUCCCUGGCGGCGCACUA
rnacentral:tRNA from 1 species